rnacentral:rRNA from 1 species
CCUAUCAUGCAGUCGAGCGGACAGAAGGGAGCUUGCUCCCGGAUGUUAGCGGCGGACGGGUGAGUAACACGUGGGUAACCUGCCUGUAAGACUGGGAUAACUCCGGGAAACCGGAGCUAAUACCGGAUAGUUCCUUGAACCGCAUGGUUCAAGGAUGAAAGACGGUUUCGGCUGUCACUUACAGAUGGACCCGCGGCGCAUUAGCUAGUUGGUGAGGUAACGGCUCACCAAGGCGACGAUGCGUAGCCGACCUGAGAGGGUGAUCGGCCACACUGGGACUGAGACACGGCCCAGACUCCUACGGGAGGCAGCAGUAGGGAAUCUUCCGCAAUGGACGAAAGUCUGACGGAGCAACGCCGCGUGAGUGAUGAAGGUUUUCGGAUCGUAAAGCUCUGUUGUUAGGGAAGAACAAGUGCAAGAGUAACUGCUUGCACCUUGACGGUACCUAACCAGAAAGCCACGGCUAACUACGUGCCAGCAGCCGCGGUAAUACGUAGGUGGCAAGCGUUGUCCGGAAUUAUUGGGCGUAAAGGGCUCGCAGGCGGUUUCUUAAGUCUGAUGUGAAAGCCCCCGGCUCAACCGGGGAGGGUCAUUGGAAACUGGGAAACUUGAGUGCAGAAGAGGAGAGUGGAAUUCCACGUGUAGCGGUGAAAUGCGUAGAGAUGUGGAGGAACACCAGUGGCGAAGGCGACUCUCUGGUCUGUAACUGACGCUGAGGAGCGAAAGCGUGGGGAGCGAACAGGAUUAGAUACCCUGGUAGUCCACGCCGUAAACGAUGAGUGCUAAGUGUUAGGGGGUUUCCGCCCCUUAGUGCUGCAGCUAACGCAUUAAGCACUCCGCCUGG